GGGACUGAGUCACUGCGCGCGGAGUCUGCGAGUGCCAAAGUCACUUGCGUUUAUCGCUCUUCCACUCGUUUUAUAUUACGCGUGUAUUGACAGGUUCUGUCUCACCGGGAACAUUACCGCAAAAUAAACAGCGACCGUUUCCCGAAAACCACGCGAGUGUUUUGUGUACGAGAGGCAGAUAGCAAGUGUUCUGCGUUCGUCUAUGAACGGCAUCAUCUAUGAGCUACAAUGGAGCAGAAUCUAAAGUCUGUAAGAAUGUGGAUAAUCACCUGCCUUUUGUUAAUUUUGGGUCAAGCAAUGGAGAAUGACAGAGACUUUAAGAUGUGUGGAACAUGGCGCCAUGGCAACGCAUCCCGAAAUCUGAAAUCUUAUUUGAAAACAGGCUGUAAGGAAAUUGAGAUUUCAGCCAAUGA